GAACAGCUUUACAUUGUGCUGCUGAGUGGGGAUAUCUACAGAUCACAAGAUGUCUGGUAGAACAUGGUGCCAGUCCCUUAGUUACAACAGAUGAGGGUCAGACUCCAUACGACUUAGCAGCAAAAGGGAUGAACGGACAGUAUAAAGAAGUGAUGAAAUACUUACAGUCAGUUAUGUCAGAGAAAUCUUCAGGUGUGACUGCUGGACAAGGGAGAGAAGGUAAU